AGCUUUGCUCAGAGAAUGAACAGUAGCAGAGAGGUUUUAAUGCAGCUGCAAAAUAGUGUGAAUUAUGACAGACUGGUCUUUGGCACUGGGACAAAACUCACAGUAAUAGGGAAAAACGAUGAAAUCAGACCACCAGCUGUGGCCAUCUUUUCACCAUCAAAGCAAGAGAUUCAACAGAAGAACAAGGCCACGCUGGUAUGCCUGGCCUCUGGUUUCUACCCUGAUAACCUCAAUUUAGUCUGGAAGGUGAAUGGUGUGAAGAGAACAGAAGGAGUGGGAACAGAUGAGACUUCCACAUCAAAUGGGAGCACUUAUGCAUUGACCAGCAGACUGAGAAUCUCAGCCCAAGAGUGGUUCAAUCCUCUGAAUCGUUUUGAGUGUAUUGCCAAUUUUUUUAAGAAUAAAACACUGGAAUCAAUACACAAAUUCAUCUAUGGUGAUACUGGAUGCAUGCUUACUAAAGAGUCCUACUUGCGGUAUGGGAAUUCUAUGAAACUCACUUACCUCAUUCUGUGUGGCAAAGCCUUCCUCUAUGCAAUUUUGGUGUGCGCUCUGACAUGGACAGCCAAGGCUCGUGGCAAGCUAUAUAAAGAAUAAGUGGAUCAUCUUAUCCAUUGCAUCAACAGGAAAACAGCAAAUUCUACUUUUUUCUUUUCUGUAGAAAAGAGUCCAAGCUUCUUAAUAUCCUCUUUCUUCACGUUUCUCAGUUCUCUGCUGUUCUUUCUGCUUUGCUUUAAUCACUGCCAGAUUUCCCAUGGACAUACAAGGUAAUAUCUGUUGUAGCUUUUAAACACCUUCUUGCCACGCAGAGGUGUCAGCUCCUUAAAUUAGGAAUAAAAUUCAAGUUUCACCACAUUCAA